rnacentral:lncRNA from 1 species
UGGAAUCCAAGCAAGAGCCAAUGCAAGAACCUAUGUGUGAACAUACAUAGGGUGAGAAAUACAAGAAAAAUGAAGAAGUACAUCAAGGGGGAGUAAUAUAAAGAUGUUCAAAGGGGUAGAUUGGAUGAUGGUAAGCAUCCAAGCAAGUGUAAGUGGUUCAAUUGUUCAAUUUUUGCAAAUUUAUGCUUGCUUUGAUUGUAUUGCCAUCAAUCACCAAAAAGGGGGAGAUUGUAGCGAGCAUAGCCUUGAUAAGCCAUUUGUUCAUGAUUUUGGUGAUUCAAUGACAACAUGAUCAUUGGGACUAACAAAGUGUUUAGAACAUGCCUCAAAGGUAUUCUAGGUUCAAAGGAAGGAAUCACAGUCAAAGCCAUGCAAUAAACCGAAGAAAACAAGAAAACAGGCACCAUCCGAUGUUCCGAUGGCCCCGAGAAGAACGUUGGAGUAACUGGUAUGGUACGGCGAUGUGGCGGAACCGCCCUAAUUAACUUAGCUAAAGCACAAUUAAGUCGCCUGGCAUGCGUUCUUAUGAUUUAAUCAAGUUAACUUGGC